GAAAAGAAACCAACAGGGAUUGCCCCAGUAACGGCGAGUGAAGCGGCAACAGCUCAAAUUUGAAAUCUGGCCCCAGGCCCGAGUUGUAAUUUGCAGAGGAUGCUUUUGGCGCGGUGCCUUCCGAGUUCCCUGGAACGGGACGCCAUAGAGGGUGAGAGCCCCGUACGGUUGGACACCAAGUCUUUGUAAAGCUCCUUCGACGAGUCGAGUAGUUUGGGAAUGCUGCUCAAAAUGGGAGGUAUAUUUCUUCUAAAGCUAAAUAUUGGCCAGAGACCGAUAGCGCACAAGUAGAGUGAUCGAAAGAUGAAAAGCACUUUGAAAAGAGGGUUAAACAGCACGUGAAAUUGUUAAAAGGGAAGCGCUUAUGACCAGACUUGCGCCCGGUGAAUCACCCAGCUCUCGCGGCUGGGGCACUUUGCCGGCUCAGGCCAGCAUCAGCUCGCUGUCGGGGACAAAAGCUUCGGGAACGUAGCUCUCUUCGGGGAGUGUUAUAGCCCGUUGCACAAUACCCUUCGGCGGGCUGAGGUACGCGCUCCGCAAGGAUGCUGGCGUAAUGGUCAUCAGCGACCCGUCUUGAAACACGGACCAAGGAGUCAACCUUAUGUGCGAGUGUUUGGGUGUCAAACCCCUACGCGUAAUGAAAGUGAACGCAGGUGAGAGCUUCGGCGCAUCAUCGACCGAUCCUGAUGUUCUCGGAUGGAUUUGAGUAAGAGCAUAUAGGGUUGGACCCGAAAGAAGGUGAACUAUGCGUGUAUAGGGU
rnacentral:rRNA from 1 species